rnacentral:siRNA from 1 species
AGGAGAGAGGUUAGGAUCGAUGC